rnacentral:piRNA from 1 species
UACAGCUUUAGUUUGGGUGCUCAGAG